UCAAGCCACACGUGUAGCUCUCUCCUCUCCGAGCGUGGUCACCGUGGACGAAUUGACCACGGCGCCGCUCGCGCCGAGCGCCUUCACCUCCUGCUGCCGCGUCGCCCGUUCCCGAACCCUCUCGAGCUCGCCUUCUCGUUCGCCAUGCGCACGCCUUCGCCCUCCGCUCGCUGUUGCCGCGUGCAUCGCGCCGUUUCACCACGCAGCCACGCCUGCCAUGGCCAUGGCCACCCCUCCACGCGGAGCCGCCGCUCGAGCCAGUGCUGACCCCCACCAACCCCCAAAUCCGUUUGCUCUCGUCCCAAUGAAGCUCCCGGGCCCGGCCAUCACCUCCACGCCUCGCCGGAACGCCGCCACAGCGGCACAGUACCGCCGCCGGCCGCCGCCCGCCGUGGAACCGCCGCCACGGACCACCUCCUCGCGCUCCAAGACCACCCAGAGGUACGAUAGAUGAACCAUAUGAAGGACGUGCUACUGGAGCCGAACCCGAAGACGAUGUUGGUGGACAUAUCCCGAAGACGGAUGGAUGGAACCCGAUGUGCAUGACCAAAGAAAGGUAUAAAAGCUAACCAGGAUUAACAUCGGUGGGCUCGAUGUGACGUCCUCACGUCUCCGUAGUUAUCUUUUUAUAUCGAUUUAUUUCAGUUGGUUUCUAAUGAAAAUCUUCCUCAGGUUAUAUUCUCAUCCGCUGCUGUCAUUUAUUUUAUGUAAACUCCAAAUUUAAA